rnacentral:rRNA from 1 species
UACGUAGGGGGCUAGCGUUGUCCGGAAUCAUUGGGCGUAAAGCGCGCGUAGGCGGCCAGAUAAGUCCGGUGUGAAAGUCACAGGCUCAACCUGUGAAUGCCGCUGGAAACUGUCUGGCUAGAGUCCGGAAGGGGCGAGUGGAAUUCCUGGUGUAGCGGUGAAAUGCGCAGAUAUCAGGAGGAACACCAAUGGCGAAGGCAGCUCGCUGGGACGGUACUGACGCUGAGGCGCGAAAGUGUGGGGAGCGAACAGG